rnacentral:snoRNA from 1 species
AUCCUUUUUUAAUUCAUAAACAUGAUGAUUGGAUUUUUAUACCAUUGUGUGAGAUGUGCCUCCAAAAAUCAUAUCUUAGGACCUA